rnacentral:rRNA from 1 species
CAGUCGCCGCGGUAAGACAGAGGAUGCAAGCGUUACCCGGAAUGAUUGGGCGUAAAGCGUCUGUAGGUGGCUUUUCAAGUCCGCCGUCAAAUCCCCGGGCUCAACCCUGGACAGGCAGUGGAAACUACCAAGCUGGAGUACGGUAGGGGCAGAGUGAAUUUCCGGUGGAGCGAUGAAAUGCGUUGAGAUCAGAAAGAACACCAACGGCGAAAGCACUCUGCUGGGCCGACACUGACACUGAGAGACGAAAGCUAGGGGAGCAAAUGGGAUUAGAUACCCCAGUAGUCCCUGUCUCUUAUAC